rnacentral:rRNA from 1 species
AUUGAACGCUGGCGGCAGGCCUAACACAUGCAAGUCGAACGAGUGGCGGACGGGUGAGUAAGGUCUGGGAAACUGCCUGAUGGAGGGGGAUAAGUACUGGAAACGGUAGCUAAUACCGCAUACCAUCGGAUGUGCCCAGAUGGGAUUAGCUAGUGGGGGGGGUAAAGGCUCACAUAGGCGACGAUCCCUAGCUGUGCUGAGAGGAUGACCCGCCACACUGGAACUGAGAAACGGUCCAGACUCCUACGGUAGGCAGCAGUGGGGAAUAUUGCACAAUGGGCGCAAGCCUGACGCAGCCACGCCGCGUGUGUGAAGAAGGCCUUCGGGUUGUAAAGUACUUUCAGCGGGGAGGCGUUACCAAAAGAAUAAGCACCGGCUAACUUCGUGCCAGCAGCCGCGGUAAUUC